rnacentral:rRNA from 1 species
GCCUUCGGGAACUCUGAGACAGGUGCUGCAUGGCUGUCGUCAGCUCGUGUUGUGAAAUGUUGGGUUAAGUCCCGCAACGAGCGCAACCCUUAUCCUUUGUUGCCAGCGAUUCGGUCGGGAACUCAAAGGAGACUGCCAGUGAUAAACUGGAGGAAGGUGGGGAUGACGUCAAGUCAUCAUGGCCCUUACGAGUAGGGCUACACACGUGCUACAAUGGCAUAUA